rnacentral:rRNA from 1 species
AUUGAACGCUGGCGGCAUGCCUUACACAUGCAAGUCGAACGGUAACAGGUCUUCGGAUGCUGACGCGUGGCGCACGGGUGAGUAAUACAUCGGAACGUGCCCAGACGUGGGGGAUAACGAGGCGAAAGCUUUGCUAAUACCGCAUACGAUCUAAGGAUGAAAGCAGGGGACCGCAAGGCCUUGUUCGUUUUGAGCGGCCGAUGGCAGAUUAGGUAGUUGGUGGGAUAAAAGCUUACCAAGCCGACGAUCUGUAGCUGGUCUGAGAGGAAGACCCGCCACACUGGGGCUGAGACACGGCCCAAACUCCUACGGGAGGCAGCAGUGGGGAAUUUUGGACAAUGGGGGGAAACCUGGUCCAAGCAUGCCGCGUGGGAGAAGGAGGCCUUCGGGUUGUAAAGCUCUUUUGGACGGGAAGAAAAGGGCGGGGCUAAUACCCCGGGCCAAUGACGGUACCGGAAAAAAAAACACCGGCUAACUACGUG